rnacentral:rRNA from 1 species
GAUGAACGCUGGCGGCGUGCCUAAUACAUGCAAGUCGAGCGAACAGACGAGGAGCUUGCUCCUCUGACGUUAGCGGCGGACGGGUGAGUAACACGUGGAUAACCUACCUAUAAGACUGGGAUAACUUCGGGAAACCGGAGCUAAUACCGGAUAAUAUAUUGAACCGCAUGGUUCAAUAGUGAAAGGCGGUUUUGCUGUCACUUAUAGAUGGAUCCGCGCCGCAUUAGCUAGUUGGUAAGGUAACGGCUUACCAAGGCAACGAUGCGUAGCCGACCUGAGAGGGUGAUCGGCCACACCGGAACUGAGACACGGUCCAGACUCCUACGGGAGGCAGCAGUAGGGAAUCUUCCGCAAUGGGCGAAAGCCUGACGGAGCAACGCCGCGUGAGUGAUGAAGGUCUUCGGAUCGUAAAACUCUGUUAUUAGGGAAGAACAAAUGUGUAAGUAACUAUGCACGUCUUGACGGUACCUAAUCAGAAAGCCACGGCUAACUACGUG